rnacentral:misc_RNA from 1 species
GAUGAAGAACGUAGCGAAAUGCGAUAAGUAAUGUGAAUUGCAGAAUUCAGUGAAUCAUCGAAUCUUUGAACGCACAUUGCGCCCGCCAGUAUUCUGGCGGGCAUGCCUGUUCGAGCGUCAUUUCAACCAUCAAGCCCCCGGCUUGUGUUGGGGACCUGCGGCUGCCGCAGGCCCUGAAAAGCAGUGGCGGGCUCGCUGUCACACCGAGCGUAGUAGCAUACAUCUCGCUCUGGGCGUGCUGCGGGUUCCGGCCGUUAAACCACCUUCAUAACCCAAGGUUGACCUCGGAUCAGUUAGGAAGACCCGCUGAACUUAAGCAUAUCAAUAAGCGGAGGA